ensembl:lncRNA
AUAUUUUAUUUAUUUAUUUAUUUUAAUGGCGAACUGCUAUGGUACCAUGAGUGUUUGGAUUUUUUCCCCUUAUUAAUAAACACCUUUAUUACGAAACUGAAGUUUGGUGUUUAUUGUGUUAUCUUUAAUAUUUAAUAUUUAAAUUUGUUUGAUGAUCUGAAACAUUUAAGUGUGAGAAACAUACAAAAAAAAUUAAAUCAGGAAGACGGAAAACACUUUACACAUCACUGUAUGUCCUUUAACCUGGGAUAAACAGAUUUCUAAGUCUGUGGAGGGAAAAUAGUAUGGUCAACAGUAUCAGAUCCUGUGGUCUGGUCUCAUAUAUAUGUGACCCAUAUGUCUAACACGCCUUCAUGUACAUUAAUUCCAGCCACAGUUAAGGCUCAGUGAGAGCAAACUCUCUUACAGGUUUAAUAAAUACAGGGAACCAUAUGCUGCAAUUUAUCCAUGUGAACACUGGAGGGAACUGAAUGCCCAUGAUUACAAACUGAAUCAGCUUAAUCAGCACAUUUCAACUAGUAAAAAUGUUUAAGCCUCCACACAGGAGGUGGUGUUUUUCCCAAUUUGUUCAUCACUAACUGUAUCAAUAGUGUUUGACAAAAUAUACACAAAGAUCUUUUUUUUGUAAUUGCCAGGCUUUAAAUCUCUUAACCUGCUGCACAGGAUUUUCAUGACAACUUAUGCAGAAACUGGAUUAAGAAAAAAAAAAAAAGCUAACAUAGAAAGUAAUAAAAAUGUAUAAAAAGAGUUUAUACAAUUUCAUUAAUCCACUGAGUGACUCUGAAUCUGUGCGAAAUUUUGAAAGCUGUAAAAAUGAAGAAUGUGAAAAAAAAAAAAAACAGGAGAAAGGAGGGAGUUCAUAGAGGAGAUGAUGACUUCAUCCUCACUGGAGAAUCCCAAGGAGAAAAAAAAUGCUUACUUGGCCUACUUACCACUAAGGUUAGCACGUCCACUCUCCUGCUCCCUCUUUUGGUUUGUAUCCAGGCAAACUCUUAUAGAAGGAAAGUGAGGUAUUUCCUUUACCCCCACAAGAAGUACAUUGCUUUUACAUUGAAGUUAAAUUGUGAUUUAAAUAUGCAAAGAUAAAGUGAAAAAGAUGUUUCCAUGUAGAGGACCACCUGCUUUACUCUACUUAUAACUACCUUAAUAAUUCUGGAUGUUUAAAAAUGUAAAACGUGAGCUUCUUCUAGCACUGAUAAACUUUAGUCCACCAUCCUUCCUCCUACAGAGACAGAUAUGUGUGCACGUGAUUCCAAACAUCCGCAUGAAUCCCCUGCAUAAAAAAGGUUAAUUUGAGCUCCUUCUGUGAGCCUAUAGUAUUGGUCUCAGUCAGUGAACAUCCACAAUAACACACAUAUCUCCUCCUCAUACAACUGAUGUGAUUCCCACUUCGUUGUUGGAUGCCAUGUUGCUGCCCCCAGCAUUACAUUCAUCCAGCCAUGACAAGCGUUAUGAAGAGUGGGUUCAUAUUUCAAUUCCCAGUUGGUGGACUCAUUUAAAGGCUCUGUGAUUCACUGAAUUAUCAUGG